ACUAAAGAACAACCAAGUAAAGCACCGAAGGCAUACUCCUUUCUUCUCCACAAAUGGUUGAAUUAUUGCUUGCUUUUUUCUUUCUCCUUGCAUUUUUUUUUUCUGGGUUAAACGUCGAAGUUAUCAGUGGGCAACAUCUUCUAGCACGAGAUUUUACAUAGCAACUGAGGAGAACUCACUUCAUGUAUUGUGAUGAAUUACAUAGUUUUAUUUUUACGUAGGAGUUUAGUCAUGAUUUUGUGGAGUAGUUUGUUUGUGAUUAUUAACAUCGUUGAUCAUGGAAAUUCAGAUUCUAAAAGAGAUUUGCUUCAAGUUAAAUGCUCAUGAAGUGCAGAUGAGCAUCACUAUGAAGUGCAAGAGUUACCUAGAUGUUUAGCUUUUGUGCUCAUUUUAUUCGGGUUUGUGUUUUCUUAUUCCUCCAAAGAUGUGGUUGAAUGGUUACUAUCUGUUCCCAUCUGUGCUUACUCAGUGUUGGGUUAGAAAAAAUCUUUUGGCAAUAAAAAUAGUAGAGGACUGGCAUAAUGUUCUUGAAUGAUAGAAAUUCUGCUUAAGCUUAAAAGGGAAACGUUAUCACAGAAGUUUGAUUAAUUCAUAGUGUGAAGUCAUUGAAUCUAUGACUUUGUGAUGGUUAUGGUUGCUCACAGUUGGUGCAACAGUUUUAUCGUAUUCUCCAUUAUUCUCCAUCGAUCUAUUGUUGUUUCAUUUCUCUGAUGCACUUGAGGUUAAAAUUUUCAGUUUGGUAGCCAUUAUGUUUCUUUCCACUUUGUGGUUCACAUGGAAAGUUGCAACAUACAAGUGGGAAAAGAGAAGAGUGAGAAGAAAAGGAAUGGAAAUCUUCUUUUAUCCUAUUUUUAUUUUGCCAGUAUUCUUUUUGGUAUGUAUUGUAUUGUCUUUUCCUCCUCUCCAUUUUGAUUGGUUGAGAAACAACUUGAAUGUUAAUACGGACGUGUUUUAAUUCUAUGUAAUGGAAGUCUAUCGAGUGUACUUACUUUCUCUUAUUUAUUAUUAAAAUGCAAUAUCAUGUGAAGCACUAUUGAUUUCUUUUUCCUUUUAAUUUCUCACUAAGGGAUCUCUAUUUUAAGGGAUUGUAUAUUACGAGAUCAGUUAGUUUGAUAUAAGGAGGUCAUGAUCACUUUUAACCAUUAGAUGUGAAAUCUAAAAGAUGAAAGUGCGUCACAACAUUCGAGAAAUGUUGUUUUGGCUUUUGU
rnacentral:lncRNA from 1 species